rnacentral:rRNA from 1 species
GGACGCCAGUCUGCGUGGAGCCAACCUUGAAAUACCACCCUUUAAUGUUUGAUGUUCUAACGUAGGCCCGUAAUCCGGGCUGCGGACAGUGUCUGGUGGGUAGUUUGACUGGGGCGGUCUCCUCCCAAAGCGUAACGGAGGAGCACGAAGGUUGGCUAAUCCUGGUCGGACAUCAGGAGGUUAGUGCAAUGGCAUAAGCCAGCUUGACUGCGAGAGUGACGGCUCGAGCAGGUGCGAAAGCAGGUCAUAGUGAUCCGGUGGUUCUGAAUGGAAGGGCCAUCGCUCAACGGAUAAAAGGUACUCCGGGGAUAACAGGCUGAUACCGCCCAAGAGUUCAUAUCGACGGCGGUGUUUGGCACCUCGAUGUCGGCUCAUCACAUCCUGGGGCUGAAGUAGGUCCCAAGGGUACGGCUGUUCGCCGUUUAAAGUGGUACGCGAGCUGGGUUUAGAACGUCGUGAGACAGUUCGGUCCCUAUCUGCCGUGGGCGCUGGAGAAUUGAGGGGGGUUGCUCCUAGUACGAGAGGACCGGAGUGAACGCACCGCUGGUGUUCGGGUUGUCAUGCCAAUGGCACUGCCCGGUAGCUAAGUGCGGAAGAGAUAAGUGCUGAAAGCAUCUAAGCACGAAACUUGCCCCGAGAUGAGUUCUCCCUGACCCUUUAAGGGUCCUGAAGGGACGUUGAAGACGACGACGUUGAUAGGCCGGGUGUGUAAGCGCAGCGAUGCGUUGAGCUAACCGGUACUAAUGACCCGUGAGGCUUAACCUUACAACGCCAGAGGCGUUUUG